UGGUUUAACAAACUAGUAUAUUUUCCUGUAUCGACAAUAGAACCUAGAUUUCAUCGCCGUGUUAAUUCACAUGCCUACCUUCCCGUUGAAAUAAAAGAACCAAACUCUUGAUUUCAGGAUGAAUCAGCCGGACAAUCAACUCUUUGACCUUUUCCAAGACAAAAUUAACUCAUCGUCAGUUAGAUUCCGUUCAGAAUGAAAAAUUCAAAAUUUACAUCAAGUGUGCUUCCUGCUUUUUUUGUUUUAUUUGCUCGAAGGGGACUUCGUGUCUAUCAAUAAUUUCAUUUCGAAUUCGUCGUACCAAUAGGUGUUUGCAGGUCCAGCGUCGCGACGUCAGACGCCGCUUUGGAUCAAGACUGUAUUGCGUCACAAACGACGGCAACUGUACCGCAUGAUGACAUAGGUCCUUGAGAAUUAUGAGAAUAUAUCCAAGGUGCAUUUGAAAACAUACUUAAUUAGUUUGGGAAGUAGAGAACAGAAAAAAGCAUCGUAUAAUUUUUAUAUAGAUAUCCAUAAAUUUUAGGAUUCGCAAAAUUCUUUCGCUGUUAGUAUAUGUAUAUGGUGCGGCGUGAAGUGUUCGAGCGAAAAACAAAUUUGCGCGGGAACCUUGAACGUGAUCUAAUUCGGGUUCAGCUUUGAGAUUCAAAUUCGAUACGACGACGAACUUCAAGUCGUCAUUGUAUUUAUAAGUAUUUAUUGUGGCGGCCAUUUUGGCUAUAGCUUAACGUAAUUUUUUUUUAAACCGCGUUAACAAGCCGCAGUCACGUUUGGUAGAUCAACCGUAAUUCAUGUCACCUUAUAUAAUAUGGAACAAUUAUGUGCAGCACUUGGUGUAAUCGUAAAACAUUUUCAAGAUCUGCGGAUCGUCAGAACGUAUGUAGUAUGACCUUGAAUCCGUGGUACGAAAUUAAAAACAUCCUGACCAAACGACGAAGUCGAAGAAGUCGAGAGCCAACUCCCACUAUAAUCAGAUGCCAAUUGCAACGCAAUAGCGAAACCGUGAAAUGUUUGAUAAUAAAUUGUAACUGCUGCAGAAGGCGCGGAACGCACACCCGUCGGCUCAAGGGCGUUCUCUGGCAAUAUCUGAUUUUAUAUUCAUUUCGUUGAUAACUCCGGUCCUCUCUAGUACUCCUACGCAUGAUGCAAAGUAACAUACAGAUAAUCCAUACGCGUACUCGCUGCCUGCGAUUACAUUGACAACCCGCACGUGCUGUCCAAGAAGAGCAGUGACCCCGCAUCCUAGCCAUAUGAAAACGAUGUUCGAAAUUACAUGCGCUCAUAAAACAGUAUUUAUACAUUCUAUUUUUUUCCAAUUUUUUUCCUCAAAUAUAUAAUACCUGUAGCCUACAAAUUUCUCCCUCAUUUUUCCUCGACCGCCGCGAACGGUUAUACGUCAAAAAUAGGUUUUCGAUUUUCAAGCUCGUCCGUCUAUAAUCUACGCAUCUUCUGUUGAACAAUCUAUACCAACGAGCGAGACUUUUGCAGCAAAAAAUUAAACACGGUGAAUACGAAAGAGCAUUGUAAUUGAAUUUUUUAUACCUACAUAGUUUACCUAGCAGCAUAUGAAUAUUAAUAAAUGUUAAUAAUAUAGCCGUGGAGAUUUUUUCAUUUUAUGCGUUCGAGAGCCGAAAGGUGAUCGUUUCACCGCGCAUAGGAUAUAUCACGUGGUAGCGAUUCAAAUAUUAUUCGCUACGCCGCGUCUGACCUAGAUUGGACACCCACGAAAACAGCAGCGAACAAUAAUAAAUUAUUGCAGUACACAAAACCGAAUUUGAAAGAGAAAAAAAGGAAAAUAUAGAUUAAAAUAAUUCAAUCUAACGACUGACCUACUUAUUCGUAACGCAAAUUUAUUUGUCGUCAAAUUAUUGGGUGGGUGUCAUUUUUCGAAACACAUAAUAAAAUUAUUUUUCAAAUCUUGUAACUGUAAAUAUAUGCCGAGGUGAAAAAUAUAUCGAAUAUUCUGAUCGACCCAAUUAGAUGACUGGGAAUCAAGAAAAACCGAUCUGGGCGCGUAUACCGAUAUAUAUAUAUGUAUUCCCUUGGGAAAGUAAACCAAAGGCAUUUGAAUCUUCGACUUUUCCGUCUGAAAGACGGUUUUUAAAUAUCUAAGAACAAAAUGUUCGUUGUGCCAAAAGUGAAACUAGUUGACACUAAAGACUUGAUACAUGCAGACAUCAGCUGUUGUUCAUCAUUUAUCGACUGCCGAGUUUAUUGGCCGAAUGACUUUGAGAUUUUUGCGAAAAGAACGAAAAAAAGAGAAAACGAAAAAAACGGUACCGAAUAAACAACAAACCUUUCUAAAAACAAAAACGGAAAAAAACUUUUCGAUGGGAUAAAAAACGACGCGGUCUCCCUGCAAUUGACAACCCCUGGUAGCGAACGGCAUCGUAACGAGUAUUUCACAUCUAAAAAUAACAAAACACUACUCACCUACCGACUACCUGUCGUAUAGAGAGAAACUAAAUUCAUCUGUCAAUUCCACCGGAUACGUCACCGACGCCCUUUCCAAUCAGAUUCCUAUAGUUUGGGCGCUAAAAAUGUCGCGCGAAGUCCGCCGCAUUCGACAGGGAAAUAAUAUCGAUUGUAAUUUCGUUGCGCUUGGAUAGAAAUUGGGAAAAUUUCCGAGGCUUCGCGCGCCGUGCGCACUACCAAAACGACAAACGAUUAUUAUUAUCAGUUACACGUCGUAUAAAUGAAACCGAGAGACCCGAACGUGACGUCACGCGGAACCUCCCGUCUCUGUGUUAAAAUAUGUGGAGCCAAAGUGUGGAGCUAAAUGAUAAAUACAUGUGUAAAAGAGGUUUCGAUACGUGGUUUGUCAUGCACGUAUAUGUAUACGCAUGCUCGCACACGUAUUGUCAUUGUUAUUAUCAUUACCCUUGUAUUCGUGAGUCCGAAUCUCAUCAUCUGAAAUCUGAAAAUAAAACUGUCCCAACGUAACUCUAUAAACGUGAGACUCCGGCGUGGUGACUGUUGUGGCUCGCGCCAUGUUUCUACCAAGUAGCAGAAAGGUUAUUACUUCCGCCUGCCCAAUAGGUAGCCCUAGCAUAGCCGGACUAAACGGCAUGAUGCAAAGCAACAUAAAGGUAUGUAUGUACGUACGUACUUGCAAGGAGACGGCAUAGGUUGGAUGUCGCGAAUCGGGUUCUUCUUUCGCGUGGUGAAAGCCGGAGACCUCCGAAGCAACGUAGUUUUUGUCUUUUGAUCCAAUGGGCCUUAGUUCCUGAGAUAUCGCGAUUUGAAAAUUUGGGAAUUAUGGGCGGAGCCAAGCCGGUUCCGGCUGGCGGGUACACUACAUUAAGCGUUAUACGUCUAAACAAGAGCGGUCGUAGCCUAUACAGCAAAACGACGGACUGAUUUUCAUCUCACAGUUAUUCUUGAGAAAGGACUUUUCGAUGGCGAUUGAUUUGGAUAAAUUAAUGUACGUACUUGGCGAAGUUUUUUCCACCCAAGGUGCUUUUUGGGAUCUACAUACAUAUGUAUACAACGACCAUUUCCCCGACCACCUACGCAGAGAAAAUACGAGAGAGUUUCGUCGGAGCGCUCGUAAAUUAUUUUCGCAGCGUAUCGUAGUUUCGGAUUUUAUACAACUAAUAGACCGUCAACUUUCGUGGCUAUAGAAAGCUUGCGGCAUAGCAGAUAGAGCAACUAGGUUUUGCGUCACGCGCGGUAAACUACCCAGAAAACGGCCCACGUUUACAUGGGCAAACGCAGCGUGAAUCAUCCGUGUAACAAAGCAACAUAAACGUGAGAGGAUGACGUAGAUCAACUUAUAAUUUGGUGAACGUCACGCGAGGGUACGUUUUGGUGACGGAUGAAUGGUUACAAACCGGAAAUAAACGUAACUGGGUUCAAGAAUAUCACGAAGCGAUAUACAUGGAGCAUAAAAGCCACGAGAUUCCUUCAAUUCAUAAUCUCAUAUCAGCCGUUUGAUCGUCAGCUCGUCAUUGCCGCAAUCUUGGCGCCGAAGCGUGGCCAGGUGACCGAAUAUAGAAAAAAGCUGAACAUCCGAAUCAACGUUGUCAACGGUUUGAACCAUCGGUACCGAUCGAUCCGCGAGAGAGUAGAAUCAGCCCCUUGCCAACAGCAAGCUCUAAAAUCGUCUUGAGAAUGACGCAAAAUCUUCGGUAAUCGAGAGCGAUGGACACGCAGAGAGCAAAUGUGAGGUCGCUCCUCAAUGACAAUUCGAUCACCACUAGGAAUGGUAAAGUCGACAGAAGUUAAAGGUGCAGCUACAUAGAAGGGCACGCCAUGGUGUUUAGCAACAACUGCAAUCUGCACAAAUGAAAUUCACACUUGUUCUGCAAUCUAAAACUACAAUAUGAUAUCACCAUUGGCCACAACUCGAUCAGCACCUACAAUAACUGCAGAAAUGGUUCUGGAUCUCAUUAAUGCUGCAACCAUAUCAUCGCAUAUCAGAAUAGCAGGCAUUUUCUCAUGAACUAAUUCAUAAGCUGUCAAUCGAGCGCCUUGAUUAUAUGGCCUUGUCUCCGUACAAUAAACUUGCUCUGCAAUUACAAAAUAUUAUCGUUAAUUAUAUUGCAAUUUACUUAGUAAAGUUGCCUUUACACAAAUAAAUCAAAUUAGUCGUAUAAAACAAUGUGCAGUUAUAAUACAAAAAGUAAAUGGAAUGCGCACUAA